rnacentral:lncRNA from 1 species
CCGAUCGAAAUAGGACAUGUUCACGUUUUUGAGCAUCCAGGGCAGCGUGGGGCGCUGGCGCUCUAAUAUUUUAGCUGCUGUUAAUUGCGCCACAGCUAGCGCCCCACACAUCCGAAUGAUCCCUACACAUAGAAAUACCAAAAUUUAGCACAAAUAAUGAUAUUAAACAUCUCAAAUCGUCGAGACAUGAGCAAAAUGUGAGGCGGUAUAUAUCAAAAUAUGCAUACAUUAAGCCGAUUAUCAAUAAUCAACACUUGUACCUACCUGGAGCUGAGCCUGAGCGGCUACCAAUCUAGUCAACAAAUCGUACUGCACUCCACAUAUCUAUAUUCUCAUCAUGAGCAACGGGUGGAGGAACUAGAGGUAAGGAGUUCCUCCUCAGCUUUUGGGUCCUGGCGGAGUCGUAGAACUAUGUGAGGCUAUCACACUUCUCCUCGGGGCCUCACUCUAGCCCUCACUAGCCACAAGUGCUCUACUGAUGCCCUCAUCGGCCACUGCUUUACCCUUUUGACUAGCUAUAGCUUUCCUUGUCAUAGACAUCACUGUAUAUAUAACAAGUCAAGGGUCAAAGAUUUUAUUCUUUACGACUUUGCUCUACCUGCACGAUCUAAUAUCAAGAAGGAAGGGUAAUGAGUCCCUAAAUGCCCUGUAGUUUCUAGUUUAUAUAACAUGGUGCACAACACACUUAUAAAUACGACUCUACUAGACACAGCUUGCAGACAACCCUAGGACAGACCUGCUCUGAUACCAUAUUUGUCACGACCCAAACUGGAGGGCGACGACUAGCACCCGGUGCCUACUCAACCGAGCGCCACGUACCUCAUCCUUUAUUACUAUAAGACUCGUCACGGGCCAUGACAUGCCACAUCUAUAUAUAUAAGUAACAAUAUUAGAACUUAACUCGCAUAAAUAAUUCAAAAAGAUUCAUAUAGAUAUAUAUGGCCGACAAGGCCAUUGACAUGUCAUACCCAAAACUAUACACAGGACACCGUAUGCAAAACCUCUAAGAAAACCAUGACCAUAAUAUAUAAGUUGGUACAGGGCUCCCGACAUCCUCAUGAAAUAAAAUAACAUAUACAUAACUCUGACUCAGCAAUACUCAAGAAAGAAGUGGAGCUCACCAAACUGAAGCUGAUAUCUGGAGGCAGCCUACGAUGGAGGGUCCUCGCCUCGUCUAUCUAUACCUGCGUGGCAUGAAACACAGCGCCCCGGGCAAAAAGGGACGUCAGAUACUAUUACUAGGAGAGAUAAGAGUCAACUUGUAACCUCUAACUUGCCGCUGAGGGCCAUAACAUAUAUAAUAAGUCCAAUCUCGUAUAUAUAAAUAUAACUACAAUUUCAUAGUUCUAAUUACAUCAUUCUCGUGACGUUAACUGCCCAACUGAUUAGUGGUAACUGCCCGACCGACCUAGCUCAGUGGUAAAUGCAUUCUUCCCAACCGGUGGUAACUGACGAUACAUAACUGCCCAACCGGUGAUAACUGCCUAAUCAGACAUAGAUCAGUGGUGAAUACGUGUCUGGCCAACCGGUGGUAACUGACGAUACAUAACUAGCAAACCGGUGAAAACAUGCCACGAAUGGAAGUAACAAAUAUUUAUUCUAAUCAUUAUUUACAAUUACCCUCUUUGAGUACCUGUCUCAGAAAGGGAAACUAAUAAUCACAAUUUCCUUAGGGCGUCCUCGUAUGCUAUUACGUCUAAUAGAGAUCUAAUAGUUUGGAAUAGAUUCAACUUAAGGAACACAAUUGUCAACAAGCUAACUCACCUACUCUUUACUAUGCAUAUACACUUACGCAAUAGAUCAAAUGAAGAACUAUGAAACUUAAGAACAAAUAUGUACUCAUUGAGCUCUCAAUUCAACUAGUUACAACACAAUCAACAAUAGAGCAACCAUCAACUAUAAAAGUGAAAUAUCUAUAAUAAUUAUGCUUUCUAUUGAGUCAUUCCAAUUGAAAGAAGGGACAGCCAUUACAUACCUUUAGUACCGACUUUAUAGAAGGUGAUGAACUUGGCAUUCUUCACAAGUAAUCUCAAUAAGUGAAAAAAAUACAUAUCCUGUAAUUAGUUGCACCAGUAGAUAACCUCACUUCUUAAACAAUAAGGAUGCCUUCGUUGUUGCCAUUUUUGGUUCAUUGCAACAUAUACUUUCUAAAAAAAAAUUGCUAGUUAAAGAAGAUUUUCACUUUGAAGUUGUUUCCCCUUCUUAGUAUCUGUACGUUUUUUUGUGUCUUAGUAGUAGUGUAAAGUACAUGUAAGUCCUACUUUUCACCUAAUUUAAUAAUCCUUUGGAGUGGAUAAGUCAUAGAAAGUGAUACUAAUAUACAUACACGUAUAUGGCACCUUUACCAAGUAUAUUUCCCUUAUCCAUACCAUUGAUAAGAAUGUCCAUUUAUUAGGUGGGACCUACUUAGAAAAACAAAUUUGAUUCUUCAUCCCCCAUAAUCCGUUUUCAUCCACGGUAAGUGUAAAUAAAUAACAAAUUCAUGUAUAGUAAUAAAAUUGGAAAUUAAAAAUCCUUAUCUCAUACUUUUAAAAUUAUUUAAUAUUUUUCCUAGUCAUUAUCAAUAUUCAAAACUGAUUUUCUAUAUCACACGUCAUAUAAUAUUUUUUCAUACGGUCCGUAUAACUUGUUCCUCGUUCCGAAUUUAAACAAAAAUUAUUUUCCUUGACUCGUUUAACCUCUAAUUCUCAUAUCAAUUACUAAACAUGGUAGUAGACCCUUGUAGGACCCUUGUAACCUUCAAGAUUAACAUAAUUAGGUCGCCUAUAACCUCAAAUAUAAUCUCAUUUUCGAGCUUACUUCGAUUAACUUACGAUGAAACUUAAUGUUCAAAAUGCGGGAUGUAACACAGGUAGUAGGGGCGUCAGUACAAAUAAUGUAUCGAGUUUGUAAGGCAUGAAAAUAGUACAUAAAAGACAUGGAAGAAAUGUGGAGUGAAGGACUCAACCUUUAAGUCUCAAUAACUCUGUGAAUCAUUAAACAUUUAUAAUGUCAUGCACAUGCGUAAAAAUCUCAUAUCAGGAAUAGGUAUAUGCGUACAUAAUAUCACCAAGCCUCUGAGGGCAUCCCAUCAUAUCAUCUCGGCCUCAAUGGGCAAAAUUAUCAACGAAUACCAACUGAUUAGGUGGUGAUGCACAUAUAACGCCGUAACCUUUCCCCAUAUCACAUGUACAAAUUUACGCGUAUAUAAUAACAUAUGAUCAUGGGUCAAUGUACAUGCAUAAAUAAAUGCAAUGCAUAGUGAAGUAAGUCUCUAAGAUCUCUCGUGAUGUCAUAAGAUCAAUAUGCCUUCGGUUAAUAUCACAAAAUAAUCUUUAUCAACUUACGUAUUUUUUGAGACUUAUGAACAAAUGAUAUAAUAAUAGGACAUAUGGGGAAUCAAGAAUAUAUGAAACCCUAGUACUUCUAAGAAUAGAGUCAUUUGUGAAAGUUGCGCGUUUGCUCCUUUUAUUUGUCUCAUAUGUAUCAUGCCAAAAGAGAAUAAGGGAUAGCCUUAACAUACCUCAAGUCAUCAAUGCAACUCCACAACAAGCUUAUGACAACUCGCACGCCAAUCCUAUAACAAAGAUACAUGUACAACUAAGAUGGAACUAGUAUAUCAUGUUUCUCAAACGAUAACUCAAUUUUAAAAUAAAACGGGCAAUAUUUCCUUUGCUUUAUCUUAACUACCCUACAAUCAGCAACCAAAACAACAACGAGGACUUCAAUUAAUUCCUUUCUGAACUCAAUCAGUCAAUAUACAUGAGUGUACACCAAAACAGACUGAUCUACGCUUGUCUACAAUAUUCUUACACUCUUCCUUAAUUAAUAUUCAUGUAACACAACUACAACCACAUAACCACAACAUCAAGUAGCUAGAUAUAUACAACGAAAGUCCUUCAAUAACAUAUCAGUACACUCCCACAAACCAGAAUUUCUUUUUAAUCGUAACUUUCAACCUAUACUUCACAAGUUCUUCAUCAAUAACCAAACUAUGAUCCAAAUGACCUCAAAUAUAUAGAGAAGAGUAUGAUAUCACCUUGAACAACAAGGAUAACAACACAUAUACAUAUUUAUAACUAUAUUUCUAGCCUUUCAACACAACCAAAUUCUCCUCAAAUACAUUACAAGAACCUUUAUUUAUACAUCAAGAAUAAUUUAAAGUGAAUUUCUCCAAGUUGAAGAUGAAUUUAUCUAGAAAUAUUUCUAAAUCAUUACCUUAAUUACUUGGAGAAAAAGAAUAGGAUAAACUGGAGAGAAGCCUUCCCAACACCUUUACAACCAAAAACCCCACCAAACCAAGACUAAAAUUGCAAGAUAGUUGCCUUAAAGAGGGUUGUCCGUAUGGUGCAAUUGUAAAGAGCAUCUAAUUGAUUUAGAUGGUGCUUAUAUGAAUUUUAUAACGUGAAGCAGCU